UUUAAAAUAUGGCAAUGCUGGAAGUCCUCGUGUGCUAUUCGUACUGAUAAUGGCAUUUGUUCUAGCUCGAGGCGGAACUUUAUGAACGAUAGGGUCAAAGUGAGGAUUAUUAAAAGCUCGUACGCAGUCUUUGGAGAAAAAAGUUGGUAUAAAAAACGCGUACGUAUUUGUUAUCCGGGAAUUCGGUAGAUACAACAAUUUUCUCUCUCUCUCUCUCUCUCUCUCCCUCCUCUCCCCCCCCUCUCUCUUUUUAGACAUAAUUUAUGUCCUGGAAUAAAUACUUUAAUCUUUUUCCUGGCGUGAAAUGGAGUAGUGGAUUUGUACGCGUCUCCCUUUCAAGGGGAACGUCGGGAAGAAUUUUCAUGCAAAUGUACUCUUUUGCUGUGUGGCGGCAUAGUAUAAAUAAAUAAAACAUGGAAAAAUACCGAAGUCCAGUUGUGGCUCUCCCUUUCUCUCCUUUCCAUCCUUUUUGCUUCUCUUUUUUUUUGCGCACAUGCACACGGAGAACAUAUUGCAUUACGCUUGAUUGUUCUGUUUUCUUUUUAUUCUUACUAACUACUCUUCGUAAGUUGUGAGUAAAUAGAAAACGGUGAACUUCAAACUCGCCCGCUCAGUUAUAAUUGGAAGUACAACAUUUUCCCAAACAUGUUCUACGAGUCCAUUCGGCGUGUUUGCAGAAGCGUUAACCAUGACGCAAACUUCAUGUCGACAUGUCACGAAAGCUUUUAUUUCAAUUCCGACAGUCCAUGCAAUUCCGACGUAAACUCGAUUGCUUAAAACUUGGUGUCAAAAUAAUUCCAUUUCUAGGAUCGUCUAAGGUCACUAUAAAUCAUCAAGCACAACUGUUUGCAAAUUGCACGCGAUAAUAAUGAACCCUCGCUAUUUGCCAGGGAAUUCAACACGAUCAUCAUCAAACUGUCUGAGCACAGCCGUAAUCGCGAGUAAUCUAGAUUCACGGUUGCAUCUAUAUAUCCAGAAAUCACGACGGUGUCGCUCGUCUCGAAGACAAGCUAGUUUAUCCCGCACCCUCGUUUCCCCGCCCUUUCGCAGACAGAUAUUCCUGGACGCAUAAUCCUCCUUCGAGCCCCGACGAUUCGAGACACGUUCGCGGAUCAGCGUCAGCGAUAUCAUCGCGGAUUAAGACGGGGAGCUGCAGCGUGAGGCGGGAAUUCGAAGAAACUACCGAAAAACGGAGAGACAGGGAGAAAACAGAAGGCUGCAGGUCGAUCGAUGAGCCGCGCACACGUCACAUUUAUCACAAGGAUAAGGAGAAGCUGAAAAUUUCGCCUUUUAUAUAUAAAACAUCGUAACGGGCUCCUUUGUAAUUUCAUUUUAAAAUACGACGGUGCGAUUCGAGUGUUUGACGUUUGGUAUCUCGGGACCAAUGCGUGAAAGUCUCUGGGAUCGACGAUGACACAUUCGCGACUUGCGAAAAGUCGUAAUGCACCAAAUGGCCCAUUCGCACGGGACACAACGAAUGAGAAUUAUUUCAGUGGUGUUAUAUUAACGUACGACGAAAAUGAAUCGCGAUACGCAGCGCGCGAGCAUAGAUACAUAUAAGUGUCAAAUGCCACGAGGAAGAGCAACCUUAUAUUGUAUCAUUUUCGUUGCCACGACGGUGAAUUAAUGCAGCGAGCUCCCACGUGAUUCGAAACUGGCUCGUAUUGCGAGACUCGAGAGAUUCUCCAACAGGAUAUUGCGACGAUUAGCUGUUUAUAAUAGCUAGAAGUAUGUACAGCGGAAUGGGCGAUUAAUAAAUCUCUGAUUUCUUGUGGA